AUUGAACGCUGGCGGCAGGCUUAACACAUGCAAGUCGAGCGGGGAAGUAUAGCUUGCUAUACGACCUAGCGGCGGACGGGUGAGUAAUGCUUAGGAAUCUGCCUAUUAGUGGGGGACAACAUUCCGAAAGGAAUGCUAAUACCGCAUACGCCCUACGGGGGAAAGCAGGGGAUCUUCGGACCUUGCGCUAAUAGAUGAGCCUAAGUCAGAUUAGCUAGUUGGUGGGGUAAAGGCCUACCAAGGCGACGAUCUGUAGCGGGUCUGAGAGGAUGAUCCGCCACACUGGGACUGAGACACGGCCCAGACUCCUACGGGAGGCAGCAGUGGGGAAUAUUGGACAAUGGGCGAAAGCCUGAUCCAGCCAUGCCGCGUGUGUGAAGAAGGCCUUUUGGUUGUAAAGCACUUUAAGCGAGGAGGAGGCUACUUGGAUUAAUACUCUAGGAUAGUGGACGUUACUCGCAGAAUAAGCACCGGCUAACUCUGUGCCAGCCGCCGCUGUAACAC
rnacentral:rRNA from 1 species